UACAGAGGUCUCAAGCGUUGUUCGGAUUCAUUGGGCGUAAAGGGUGCGUAGGCGGCGCGGUAAGUCGGGUGUGAAAUCUUGGAGCUUAACUCCGAAACUGCAUUCGAUACUGCCGUGCUUGAGGACUGGAGAGGAGACUGGAAUUUACGGUGUAGCGGUGAAAUGCGUAGAUAUCGUAAGGAAGACCAGUGGCGAAGGCGGGUCUCUGGACAGUUCCUGACACUGAGGCACGAAGGCCAGGGAGCAAACGGG
rnacentral:rRNA from 1 species